AGAGUCUUAGGUUCAAUUUAAACCAGGAGCCUUCAAAGCUCUAAACGGUGGUUAAAAUCCACCAGACCCUG
rnacentral:tRNA from 1 species